GAUGAACGCUGGCGGCAGGCCUAACACAUGCAAGUCGAACGGCAGCACAGCAGUAGCAAUACUGUGGGUGGCGAGUGGCGGACGGGUGAGGAAUACAUCGGAAUCUGCCUAGUCGUGGGGGAUAACGUAGGGAAACUUACGCUAAUACCGCAUACGACCUACGGGUGAAAGCGGGGGAUCGCAAGACCUCGCGCGAUUAGAUGAGCCGAUGUCCGAUUAGCUAGUUGGCGGGGUAAUGGCCCACCAAGGCGACGAUCGGUAGCUGGUCUGAGAGGAUGAUCAGCCACACUGGAACUGAGACACGGUCCAGACUCCUACGGGAGGCAGCAGUGGGGAAUAUUGGACAAUGGGCGCAAGCCUGAUCCAGCCAUGCCGCGUGGGUGAAGAAGGCCU
rnacentral:rRNA from 1 species